rnacentral:lncRNA from 1 species
AGUUUUACUAAAAAUAAUACUGAAGUUAUAAAAUGGAGAAAUUUACUGACAUUCUUGGUGCUGUUCGCAAAGACAGUGGUUCUACAUUUCGAUCUUGUGAGCCUGAACUAAUAGAGCUGAUGAGACAGAUUGACAACAUGGUUGAAGAAAAGAAAAAUGAGUGGUUAGAACAAAUGUCUACUUUGCAAUUACUGCUACAACAAAAAGUUGAUGAGAAUUCUCGAAUUUACCAAGAUCUUGAAGCUUUAAGCUAUGAAGUGGAUGAUUUACGUAAAGAAGUUGCGCGAUUAAAGAAUUCUAAGAAAUUGCUUGUUACAAAAUAUGAAAACACUGUUAAGAGGUUCAAGGAUGAGGUUGAUUUACUCAAAAAGAAAUACGACAGACUUCAAAAGAAAACAAACAAGUUUCAUGAUCAAAAAAUUACAGAAUGUCAAAAUAUACAAUACGAGAGUCAAAACAAAACUACAGAAAUUGGUAUUUUACAAACAAAAAUUCAAAAUCUUGAAGAACAAGAAAAAAAGUACAAAGUAGAAUUGGAAAGUUUUAAAAAGUACACAGCCACUUUAGAAGAGCAAAGAGAAAGUUUAUCAGAAAAGUGUAAGCUCAACCUGGCUCAGUUGAAUCGAAAGCAAGAAACUUUUCAAAAUUUAGAGCAUGAAACUGCUUGUCGUAUUGCAAAUUUAGAAACUAAGGUUGCUUCUCAACAUAAAACUUGCAUUCAACAAGAAUUAGAAAUUGAAAGUUUAAAAGUCAAACUUGGCGAUUUAAAUAAAUAUUCAGAUGAGUCCAAAAACAAUAAUGAUAUCUCAGAGAGGCUACAAAAAGAAAACGAAAAAUUAAAAAAUGCAAUUCUGAAAAAAAAUCAAAUCAUACAGAAGUAUGAAAAAAAGUUGUUUGAUCUUUCAAAGCAUUCUUUUCACAGUUUUGAAGAUAACUCGAACAGUACUCAGGGUGUCACACAGAAUCUGAGAUCUCCUUUAAUUUAUGAUUCAGUUGCUAAAAUCAAUUAUGAAGAAAAAAUAUAUCAACUAGAGAAAGAUAAUGCAGAGUUGCACAAAAGACUUUUGAUGUUAAAGGAAGAAAUGUCAUCACCAUAUAAUAAAUCAGUUAUUCAGAAUCAAGAUAUUACUUCUAGGAAAGAUAUUGAAAAGAAGUCAAUUGAAGGUUGUUAUGGUUCUACAGAAUCUUCAGUUUACAUAGAUUUCUCUGAUUUCUCUAAAGCUUCAAUUGAAAAGGGAGAUAAAAAAAUACCUCUCUCUCCAGCCAGUGAAUUCACAAGAAGAGAAAUACUGCGAGAAGAAAUCCUCGAUAAAAAAAUUAAGUCUACUAUAAAUGAUUUUAAAAAAGCGUUUGAAUAGUUUUAUAGUUAAUAUAAUGUAUAAUAUUUUUAAUUCAAUUUUAUUUGAAUUUGGUUGUGGAUUGUAAAAUAAUUUUUUAAACUCUAUAAAUUGCAUAUGUAAUAUAAAUUUGUAAUAAAAUAUGAGAAAUAUGAAGAAAUUUAAAGGUAAA